ACGAACGCUGGCGGCGUGCUUAACACAUGCCAGUCGAACGGAAAGGCCCUGCUUUUGUGGGGUGCUCGAGUGGCGAACGGGUGAGUAACACGUGAGUAACCUGCCCUUGACUUUGGGAUAACUUCAGGAAACUGGGGCUAAUACCGGAUAGGAGCUCCUGCUGCCUGGUGGGGGUUGGAAAGUUUCGGCGGUUGGGGAUGGACUCGCGGCUUAUCAGCUUGUUGGUGGGGUAGUGGCUUACCAAGGCUUUGACGGGUAGCCGGCCUGAGAGGGUGACCGGCCACAUUGGGACUGAGAUACGGCGCAGACUCCUACGGGAGGCAGCAGUGGGGAAUAUUGCACAAUGGGCGGAAGCCUGAUGCAGCAACGCCGCGUGCGGGAUGACGGCCUUCGGGUUGUAAACCGCUUUCGCCUGUGACGAAGCGUGAGUGACGGUAAUGGGUAAAGAAGCACCGGCUAACUACGUG
rnacentral:rRNA from 1 species